GCCCUUGUGGAUUGUGGUUGAGUUGUGUCAAACAGUAUCAUGAAGACAUCGUAGGUUCAAAUCCUACCAAGGGUA